rnacentral:lncRNA from 1 species
CCACUCUGCAGCCCGGGAAGCUGAGGUGCAGCCAAGCUCUGCACAGAGGCUCACACGGCAGCCUCUGCAGACACGCACACCAGCCCCCACGGGAGCGUCUCCGGGCUCUUUUGCUUUCACUUCCCUCCUCACAGACGAGAACAGAGAAGCCGCCCAGGCAGGAAGCCAGGCGCCCACAGGUUGGCAGGAAGAGCACUUAGUCAAAAACCUGUGGGCUCGGGGGCCACACCUCACAACCUGCACCAUCAGAUUCGCACACAAACAAACGGACUCAUCCAAUUACUAGGAGACCGCCAGGCGCCAUGGGUCACACCUGUACUCCCAGUGCUUUGGGAGGCCGAGGCAGGAGGAUCACUUGAGGCCAGGAGUUUGAGACCAGCCUGGUCAACAUAGUGAGACCCCAUCUCUACAAAAAAAUUAAAAAAUUUAGCCAGACGUGGUGGCGCACACCUGUGGUCCUAGCUACUCGAGACCAGCCUGGCCAACAUGAUGAAACCCCAUCUCUACCAAAGAUAUAAAAAUUAGCCAAGCACGGUGUCUUAUGCCUAUAAUUCCAGCACUUUGGAAGGACAAGGUGGGCAGAUUACCUGAGGUCAGGAGUUCGAGACCAGCCUGGCCAAGGUGGUGAAACCCCAUCUCUACUAAAAAUACAAAAAUUAGCCAGGCAUGUUGGCUGGCGCCUGUAAUCCCAGCUACUUGGGAGGCUGAGGCAGAAGAAUCGCUUGAGCCCAGGAGAUGGAGGUUGCAGUGAGCUGAGAUCGAUCCACUGCACUGCAGCCUGGGCAACAGAGUGAGGCUCUUGUCUCAAAAAAAAAAAAAAAAAAAAAAAAAAAAAAGACUACUGCCAACAAUCACAGGUUUCUACCUGGCAAAAUAGGCCACAGGUAAAAAUCAAAAGUCAAACAGUAAAUUGUGGGAGGGGAAUGGGGGGAGUCUAAAACUCACAUGAUUAAGGCCUAAGUUCUCUAAUAUGUAAAAAGCUCUGACAAAUCAAUGAUAAGCCACUGUCCAGUACAAAGUAAGCAAAGGAUAAGAACUAAGCAAAGGUUAAGAACUGAGGGUUCACAGAAGAGGAAAAGCAGGGCUGUGGCCUGGGAGGGUAGCUCAUACACGCACGCCCCUUGACCCAGCAGUUCUAUUUUGGGCACUGAUCCCUCAGGCAUCCUUGAGACAGGGGCACAAGCUUGUCAUAGCAAUGGUGUUCGUAACAGCAACAGCUCAGCCACUCCCAAGACGUCCAUGAAAUAACCUACUCAAUCUCCUCAGCUGAGCCCUGCACAGCCGAAAAAAGGGGUUCAGGCUGCUUCAUGCUGACUGAUAUCGGGUGAGCCUCUCUAUAUGGAGGUGAGGAUAAAAAUCAGGAGCAGAACAGGGCAUGAGGUGAGCUGUCCUCGUGUGUACAAAACAGGGCAGAUAUGUGUUUGCCGGUAUGUGCUGGAAGGAGCUAGGAGGGUGCGUUUCACUGCAGACCGUGUUAACACAGCUAAAAAGCAAACAAAAACUGGGCAACAUAGUGAGUAUACAAAAAAUACAAAAAAAUGAACUGGGUGUGAUGGCUGGUGCCUGUAGACCCAGGAACUCAGGAGGCUGAGGUGGGAGGAUCAUUGCAGCCCAAGAAGGCAAGUCUGCAGUGAGGUAUGAUUGCGUCACUGCAGUCCAGCCUGGGUGACAGAGCGAGACCUUAUCUCAAAACAAGCAAAGAAACAAACAAAAAGGCGCCGGCGUCUUUGAAAUAACCCAAAAGCGAAGUGGGAAGAGAAUACAGGCAGGAGGCCGGGUGGGUGCGGUGGCUCACGUCUGUAAUCUCAGCACUUUGGGAGGCCGACGCGGGUGGAUCACCUGAGGUCAGGAGUUCGAGACCAGCCUGACCACUAUGGUGAAACCCCGUCUCUACUAAAAAUACAAAAAUUAGCCAGGUGUGGUGGCGUGCUUCUGUAAUCCCAGCUACUCGGGACGCUGCGACAGGAGAAUUGUUUGAACCAGGGAGAUGGAGGUUGCAGUGAAAGCCUAGAUGGUGCCAUGGCACUCCAGCCUGCAGCCUGGGCGACAGAGCGAGACUCCGUAUCAAAAAA